rnacentral:rRNA from 1 species
GGGGGAUAUUGCACAAUGGAGGAAACUCUGAUGCAGCAACGCCGCGUGAGUGAUGAAGGUUUUCGGAUCGUAAAGCUCUGUUGCCAGGGAAGAACGUCCGUUAGAGUAACUGCUAACGGAGUGACGGUACCUGAGAAGAAAGCCCCGGCUAACUACGUGCCAGCAGCCGCGGUAAUACGUAGGGGGCGAGCGUUGUCCGGAAUUAUUGGGCGUAAAGCGCGCGCAGGCGGCUGUUUAAGUCUGGUGUUUAAUCCUGGGGCUCAACCCCGGGUCGCACUGGAAACUGGGCAGCUUGAGUGCAGAAGAGGAGAGUGGAAUUCCACGUGUAGCGGUGAAAUGCGUAGAGAUGUGGAGGAACACCAGUGGCGAAGGCGACUCUCUGGGCUGUAACUGACGCUGAGGCGCGAAAGCGUGGGGAGCAAAC